AAGCUGAUGAUGAUUUACUCGGAUUCCCCUUCAGGACUGCAUGGAUGAUGCAAAACCGAGUUUCUGAUGCA
rnacentral:snoRNA from 1 species